AGAUCCAUAAUGACACCUACAUCUGCCUUGAAGAGACAUGAAGUCAUAAAAAUCAUGCUCAAUAAGAUUAUCCUGAGGUGA
rnacentral:snoRNA from 1 species